CCUACGGGUGGCAGCAGUGGGGAAUAUUGCGCAAUGGGCGAAAGCCUGACGCAGCGACGCCGCGUGAGGGAUGAAGGUCUUCGGAUCGUAAACCUCUGUCAGCAGGGAAGAACGGUCACUGUGCUAAUCAGCAGUGAAUUGACGGUAUCUGCAAAGGAAGCACCGGCUAACUCCGUGCGAGCCGCCGCGGUAAUACGGAGGGUGCGAGCGUUAAUCGGAUUUAUUGGGCGUAAAGCGCUCGUAGGCGGGAUGUCAAGUCAAGGGUGAAAUCCCCGCGCUCAACGUGGGAACUGCCUUUGAAACUGGCAAACUGGAGUGUGUGAGAGGAUAGUGGAAUUCGAGGUGUAGGAGUGAAAUCCGUAGAUAUCUGGAGGAACAUCAGUGGCGAAGGCGACUAUCUGGCACAUAACUGACGCUGAGGAGCGAAAGCGUGGGUAGCAAACAGGAUUAGAUACCCGAGUAGUC
rnacentral:rRNA from 1 species